AUUUCUUCAUUCAGUUUAUUGGAAUCUGAUAGGUCAAGGACCUUUCCAAGACCACAAGUAUAAAGUGAACCCAUCAAGACAUUUAUAAUGCAGAACUUCAAAAGAAGGAGAAAAUAAUUUAGCAAAACGAACCAACC
rnacentral:lncRNA from 1 species